rnacentral:tRNA from 1 species
GUCCCUGGUUCAGUUGGUAGAGCAUGGUGCUAGCAACGCCUGGGUUGUGGGUUCAAUUCCCAUGGGGGACC